rnacentral:lncRNA from 1 species
AGGCUUUCUCUCAGCCACAAUCUUAGCUUAGCUGUAAGGAAGACUGCAGUCACGUAGCACUUUGCUUCCAGGGAUCUCAAAGAACUUUAUGCAUCAUUUAUCGUGACCCUUGUUUUACAAAAGACCAGUUACCUGAGGUUUGGGCGGGGGUUAGGGGAUAGAUGUUUGAGGUAUAUUUACACCAUUAAUCGAGUGAGGGGGAAAAAAGACAAAACCUCUGGUUUAGCGGUUUCCUCCUCGAUCUGAAGCCCCUUCUCGCAGUCAUCUCAGCAAUGAAACUUCCUUUAUUUGUCCAGCACGAGAGGGCCAAAGAAACAGGUUUAUCCUCUCACCCAAAAGCCCUUUCUGAGACGGCUGGCCAGACACACACAGAGCACAGAGCCCUGCUUGGGAAGGAAGGUUCAGAGAACAAAUUGCCUUUUAAAACUGUUGGGCUGGACCUGCCUCUUCCAAAGCUAAAAAUGGUGAGUCAGGAUUUAGGCGUCCAUGCUCUGGGGAGAGAAGGCAGAUGUAAUUGGGGAAAGCUCUGGCUGGCAGGGUGUUGGGGUACAGGCGAGUUGGGGAGCUAGGUCUCCCAAGGGGGCCAGCAAUGCGCGUGCUAGUCGAUUGCGGGCUCCCGACGCGAGACACCCCAAAACCUGCUCCCCAGUGAGAACAAAGGCAGGCGCGGAGCGAGAACCUGAUUGGUGCCCGGUCCUCACCGGUGUCCUCCGGGCCCCGGAGAUAACUUGCUUCACCCACUGGCGCGGAGCUCCGUCUCACUGGAGCCCCAGCUCCCCACCCGGCCUUGGCUGUGACCACACAGGACUGUGCGUUAUGACAUCACCUGUUUUCGCUCUUUAGAACACGAUCAGUAUUCUCGGCUUCUCCUUUUUUAAAGGUCUCUAGUGCACAAGGAUUUGCGAAGGCCUGCCGUUCACAGAAUGAAUCUGUGGAGAUGAUUUAAAAGAACGGUUGCACUGUGCUUCAACAACAUCAUUCUACCCGGAUUCCAGAGUGAGAUCAGGUGCUGAUUUCAGUGUCUGUGAUGUUACAUCUGAGAGUCUUCACUGGGUUUGAAACUGAGUGCUCCAAGCAAGUGGAUACCUUUUCUUCUUCUGCUAUCCCAGGGAAACACUGAGAUUAUUUCAGCAAAAAUAACAUUUCUGCCAAUCUGCAUCAUAACUCAGAGAGGCAGCUGGUCAAGUUAGCAAAGAAAACUGAUACUUAGUCCUAAAGGAGCUUGGUUAAACUUUCGCUUUGUCUUUUUAUAUUUUGAUACAACAGUAUGGAGAUAGGUUAUCUUCUUACGGUAUUUGUCACCUGCUUUGUGAUUAUUUUUUUACUUGGCUGCCUUCUCCAUGAGAUUAUAUGCUUGAUGAGGACAGUUUUCCUCACCAUUGUAUCAUCAAUACAAUAAACAUUUUUUUUAAGAGAUGAAUAAAGAAAGUCAAUGCAGGGGGCCAGCCCAGUGGCAUAGUAGUUAAGUUUGUGCACUCUGCUUCCUCAGUCCAGGGUUUGUGGGUUCAGAUCCUAGGUAAGGACAUACACACCACUUAUCAAGCUGUGGUGGUGACCCACAUACAAAAGAGAGGAAGAUUAGCACAGACGUUAGCUCAGGG